CAGCCGCCCGGUAAUACGAAGGGGGCUAGCGUUGCUCGGAAUGACUGGGCGUAAAGGGCGCGUAGGCGGAUUGUCUAGUUAGGCGUGAAAUUCCUGGGCUUAACCUGGGGACUGCGCUUAAUACAGGCAGUCUAGAGUGAGGAAGAGGGUUGUGGAAUUCCCAGUGUAGAGGUGAAAUUCGUAGAUAUUGGGAAGAACACCGGUGGCGAAGGCGGCAACCUGGUCCUUGACUGACGCUGAGGCGCGAAAGCGUGGGGAGCAAACAGGAUUAGAUACCCGCGUAGUCCCUGUCUCUUAUACC
rnacentral:rRNA from 1 species